GAUGAAGAACGCAGCGAAAUGCGAUAAGUAAUGUGAAUUGCAGAAUUCAGUGAAUCAUCGAAUCUUUGAACGCACAUUGCGCCCCUUGGUAUUCCGAGGGGCAUGCCCGUUCGAGCGUCAUUAUACCCCUCAAGCCUAGCUUGGUGUUGGGGCCUGCUGUUACCGGCAGCCCUUAAAAUCAGUGGCGGUGCCAUCUGGCUCUAAGCGUAGUAAUACUUCUCGCUACAGGGUCCCGGUGGAUGCUUGCCAUCAACCCCUAAUUUUCUAUGGUUGACCUCGAAUCGGGUAGGGAUACCCGCUGAACUUAAGCAUAUCAAUAAGCGGAGGA
rnacentral:misc_RNA from 1 species